rnacentral:rRNA from 1 species
GAGUUUGAUCCUGGCUCAGGAUGAACGCUAGCGGGAGGCUUAACACAUGCAAGUCGAGGGGCAGCAUUUCCUUCGGGAAGAUGGCGACCGGCGCACGGGUGCGUAACGCGUAUGCAACCUGCCUUGUACAGGGGGAUAGCCCAUGGAAACGUGGAUUAAUACCCCAUUGUACUGUCAUUUCGCAUGUUAUGACAGUUAAAACUUCGGUGGUACAAGAUGGGCAUGCGUAGGAUUAGCUAGUAGGUAGUGUAACGGACUACCUAGGCGAUGAUCCUUAGGGGUCCUGAGAGGGUUACCCCCCACACUGGAACUGAGACACGGUCCAGACUCCUACGGGAGGCAGCAGUGAGGAAUAUUGGUCAAUGGGCGAGAGCCUGAACCAGCCAUCCCGCGUGCAGGAUGACGGCCCUACGGGUUGUAAACUGCUUUUCCGCGCCAAGAAUGGUUCCGACGUGUCGGGAUUUGACGGUAGCGCGGGAAUAAGCACCGGCUAACUCCGUGCCAGCAGCCGCGGUAAUACGGAGGGUGCAAGCGUUAUCCGGAUUUAUUGGGUUUAAAGGGUGCGCAGGUGGGAAUGUAAGUCAGUGGUGAAAUUCUGCCGCUCAACGGUAGGACUGCCAUUGAUACUGCGUUUCUUGAGUAUGGUUGAGGUAGCGGAAUGUGUCGUGUACGGUGAAUGCAUAGAUAUGACACGGAACGCCGAUUGCGAAGCAGCUUACUAAGCCAUUACUGACACUGAGGCACGAAAGCGUGGGUAGCGAACAGGAUAGAUACCCU